rnacentral:rRNA from 1 species
AUUGAUCGCUGGCGGCAGGCCUAACACAUGCAAGUCGAGCGGAGGGGCAGAUUGGCGUGUAUUGCCUAGGAAUCUGCCUGGUCGUGGGGCAUAACGUCCGGAGACGGGCGCUUAUCACGAACCCUAUCCGAUUAGUUUAGGUCGGAUUAGCUAGUGGGUGGGGUAAAGGCCUACCAAGGCGACGAUCCGUAACUGGUCUGAGAGGAUGAUCAGUCACACUGGAACUGAGACACGGUCCAUACUCCUACGGGAGGCAGCAGUGGGGAAUAUUGGACAAUGGGCGAGAGCCUGAGCCAGCCAUGCAGCGGGUGUGAAGAAGGUCGUCGGAUUGUAAAGCACUUUAAGUUGGGAGGCGUUACCAUCAGAAUAAGCACCGGCUAACUCCGUGCCAGCAGCCGCGGUAAUUC